UGACAACGUCGAACGAACUCUGGUAUUGAUUGGUGCUUGCAUCAUGAUUUACAUUUGAGUGAGUGGCGAACUGGUGAGUAACACGUGGGAAACCUGCCCAGAAGCGGGGGAUAACACCUGGAAACAGAUGCUAAUACCGCAUAACAACUUGGACCGCAUGGUCCGAGCUUGAAAGAUGGCUUCGGCUAUCACUUUUGGAUGGUCCCGCGGCGUAUUAGCUAGAUGGUGGGGUAACGGCUCACCAUGGCAAUGAUACGUAGCCGACCUGAGAGGGUAAUCGGCCACAUUGGGACUGAGACACGGCCCAAACUCAUACGGGAGGCAGCAGUAGGGAAUCUUCCACAAUGGACGAAAGUCUGAUGGAGCAACGCCGCGUGAGUGAAGAAGGGUUUCGGCUCGUAAAACUCUGUUGUUAAAGAAGAACAUAUCUGAGAGUAACUGUUCAGGUAUUGACGGUAUUUAACCAGAAAGCCACGGCUAACUACGUGCCAGCAGCCGCGGUAAUACGUAGGUGGCAAGCGUUGUCCGGAUUUAUUGGGCGUAAAGCGAGCGCGGCGGUUUUUUAAGUCUGAUGUGAAAGCCUUCGGCUCAACCGAAGAAGUGCAUCGAAACUGGGAACUUGAGUGCAAGAGGACAGUGGAACUCC
rnacentral:rRNA from 2 species